UGNNGGUGCUACCAUGCAGUCNACGCGAAAGCCCCGCAGGGGUAGUAGAGUGGCUAACGGGUGAGUAACACGUGGGUGACCUGCCUUCGAGCGGGGGAUAACGUCCCGAAAGGGACGCUAAUACCGCAUAACAUCCUGCCUUUGAAGAGGCGGUGAUCAAAGCUGGGGAUCGCAAGACCUAGCACUCGAAGAGGGGCCCGCGUCCGAUUAGCUAGUUGGUGGGGUAAUGGCCCACCAAGGCAACGAUCGGUAGCCGGCCUGAGAGGGCGGACGGCCACACUGGGACUGAGACACGGCCCAGACUCCUACGGGAGGCAGCAGUGGGGAAUUGUUCGCAAUGGGCGCAAGCCUGACGACGCAACGCCGCGUGGAGGAUGAAGAUCUUCGGGUCGUAAACUCCUUUCGAUCGAGACGAAUUCCUCCGGGGUGAACAAUCCCGGAGGUUGACGGUACCGAGAGAAGAAGCCCCGGCUAACUCCGUGCCAGCAGCCGCGGUAAUACGGGGGGGGCAAGCGUUGUUCGGAAUUACUGGGCGUAAAGGNCUCGUANGUGGCCAACUAAGUCGGACGUGAANCCCUCGGCUUAACCGGGGAACUGCNUCCGAUACUGGNUUGGCUUGANUUUGGNANAGGGAUGCGGAAUUCCAGGUGUANCGGUGAAAUGCGUUAAUUUCUGGAGGAACCCCGGUGGCGAAGGGGCNUCCUGNACAAUACUGACCCUUAAGANCNAAANCCNGGGGACNANNGGNAUNAAAUNCCCGGUAGUCUUGGCCCUAANNAUAAGACGAUGAAUGCUUGGUGUGGCGGGUAUCGAUCCCUGCCGUGCCGAAGCUAACGCAUUAAGCAUUCCGCCUGGGGAGUACGGUCGCANGGCUGAAACUCAAAGGANUUGACGGGGGCCCGCACAAGCGGUGGAGCAUGUGGUUCAUUUCGACGCAACGCGAANAACCU
rnacentral:rRNA from 1 species